UACGACUACAUAUCAGGCAUAUCAAUAAGCGGAGGAAAAGAAACUAACUAGGAUUCCCUCAGUAACGGCGAGUGAAGCGGGAAGAGCUCAAAUUUGAAAUCUUCAAGGUUCUACCUUGACGAAUUGUAGUUUAAAGAAGUGUUUUCUGUUGGAGUUUUGGUAAAAGUUCUUUGGAAUAGGACAUCACAGAGGGUGAGAAUCCCGUAUUUGACCAUUAUUUCCAGCUUUGUGAUACACUUUCAAAGAGUCGGAUUGUUUGGGAAUGCAGUCCAAAAUGGGUGGUAAAUUUCAUCUAAAGCUAAAUAUUGGCGAGAGACCGAUAGCGAACAAGUACCGUGAGGGAAAGAUGAAAAGAACUUUGAAAAGAGAGUUAAACAGUACGUGAAAUUGUCAAAAGGGAAGCGUUUGACACCAGUGUUGUUUUCUCGAAAAUCAAUUAAAAAAGACUGGAUUUUGUGUUGUAUUGACUUUAUCAGCUUUCUGCACUCUUUUCUUGUCUUUCUUAAUGCACUUUUCGUUUAACAAGUCAACAUCAAUUUCUUUUGUUGUAAAAGGGUCAUUGGAAGGUGGCUUUCUUUUCGGAGAAAGUGUUUAUAGCCUUUGGCCUCUGCAAUCGGAGAGAUUGAGGUCUGCAGCGUAGAUCCUUCGGGGUUAGAUACAUUUGUGCUAAGUUAUAGCCUUUCAUAGACAACUUGUUGACUAUGAUCAGUCAUGUAGCUUACUCGCUUAUGCUAUUUUACCUACGCUUAGGAUGUUGAGUAGCGACAUACGCAC
rnacentral:rRNA from 1 species